rnacentral:lncRNA from 10 species
AUUAAAGGAGGAUCUGGUAGGUGCAAAGCUUUCUGCUAACACCUUCAGCACUUUGCAUUCUUUAUUUUCUCAUUUAUCUCUUGGCAUUUUGUUGUUGCCCGUAUCCCCACGACCCACGAAUCCAGAGAGUCUCGCUCUGUUGCCAGGCUGGAGUACAGUGACGCAACCUCAGCUCACUGCAACCUCUGCCUCCUGGGUUCAAGCAAUUCUCCUGCUUCGGGAAGGAAGGAAGGAAGGAAGGAAGGAAGGAAGGAAGGAAGGAAGGAAAAGAAAGAAAAGAAAGAAAGAAAGAAAGAAAGAAAGAAAGAAAGGAAAGAGAGAAAGAGAGAGAGGGAAGGAAGAGAGAGAAGGAAGGAAGGGAGGGAGAGAGAGAGACAGGAAGGAAGGAAGGAAGGAAAAGAAAAGAGAAAGAGAAAGAAAGAAAAGAAAGAAAGAAAGAAAGAAAGAAAGAAAGAAAGAAAGAAAGAAAGAAAGAAAGAUUGAUUGAUUUUAAGGAAUUGGAUCACACAGUUGUGGAGGCCAGCAGAUCCAAAGUCUGCAGAGUCCAGAG